rnacentral:rRNA from 1 species
CACGCCGCGUGAGUGAUGAAGGCUUUCGGGUCGUAAAACUCUGUUGUUAGGGAAGAACAAGUGCUAGUUGAAUAAGCUGGCACCUUGACGGUACCUAACCAGAAAGCCACGGCUAACUACGUGCCAGCAGCCGCGGUAAUACGUAGGUGGCAAGCGUUAUCCGGAAUUAUUGGGCGUAAAGCGCGCGCAGGUGGUUUCUUAAGUCUGAUGUGAAAGCCCACGGCUCAACCGUGGAGGGUCAUUGGAAACUGGGAGACUUGAGUGCAGAAGAGGAAAGUGGAAUUCCAUGUGUAGCGGUGAAAUGCGUAGAGAUAUGGAGGAACACCAGUGGCGAAGGCGACUUUCUGGUCUGUAACUGACACUGAGGCGCGAAAGCGUGGGGAGCAAACAGGAUUAGAUACCCUGGUAGUCCACGCCGUAAACGAUGAGUGCUAAGUGUUAGAGGGUUUCCGCCCUUUAGUGCUGAAGUUAACGCAUUAAGCACUCCGCCUGGGGAGA